UUUCUUUCUUUUCUUUCUUUCUUUCUUUCUUUCUUUCUUUCUUUCUUUCUUCUUUCUUUCUUUCUUUCUUUCUCUUUCCUUCCUUCCUUCCUUCCUUCCUUCCUUCCUUCCUUCCUUCCUUCCUUCCUUCCUUCCUUCUUUCUUCUUUCUUUCUUUCUUUCUUUCUUUCUUUCUUUCUUUCUUUCUUUCUUUCUUUCUUUCUUUCUUUCUUUCUUUCUUUCUUUCCUGUUUUUUUUUUCUAUUUACACUCACAUCCAGAUGGUCUGAUUUAAUUUCAAAGCUUCAAAUACCAUCUUCUACACCUGUAAUUCCCUACUUUAUAUCUCAAGCAUUCAUUGUGUUCCUAAACUCAGAUGUCAGUAACUAUAAAUGCCUGCUUGACUUUUGUACUUGAAUAUGUAAUAGAGCUCUUUAUCAAGCGUCAUUAUUUGAAUUGUUUUCUGCCAUAAACCUGAGAGUCCUUCAGUCUCCAUAAAUGACACCUUCUAUUUCACAACCAAACCAUGACCAAACCAUGAACAGGGAAAUCGUCUCAAUCUUAAAAAUGAUACCCUGAGCUUGAUUAACUCUCAAUUCUUCUUCCACUGCUGCCACAUUCGCCUAGGCCACAUAGCUUCUCACCUGGGUAUUGUAGUAGCUUCAGCCCAAUUUAGUUAAUGAGCCACAAGAACUUCAAGUAAUUCUGCUAAAUAGGAGAAGAUGUAGGAGUAAGGCAAACGCAGAAAAAUAAGCUUGAAGGGGACAGGGUCGUUUGUGAUGACAUUUAUUAACAUCUGAUGUUGUACAUAUGAAAACUAAGGAUGAAAGAUUGGUUUUUAGGACUCAAAUAACUUUAGAUUGAGAACCCUAAUAGGAUUUAAGACAAAAAUUAUAUUCCAUGAUAAUUUUAGUGUUCUUAGUGAUUUGAAAGUUGUAGGGUCGACGGGGAAAAUACUACUUUGUUUACAUUUAGGAAGAUUAGAUCUCUGGACUUAAAUAUGACAGGUAAGAUGCAAAGGUGGGAUAUCGCUUUAAAGUUUAUAUGAAGUGUGAGCAAUCAAUAUGUGCAUUUAAUUAACACGUUUCUACUUGUUUAGGAUAUUUUGCUUACUAUAAGGACUAAUAAAAGCUCUGAUAUACCAGGCUCCCCUCUGAUGGCAGUAAUGAUUCUGACCCAAUCUACUUGCUUGUACUUUCACACAUUCCAAUUUAUCCUGAAUGAUCUAUUUUGCCACUGGAAACAAGUUUUUCAGUUUUGGUUUGUUUGUACCCAGAACUGUCCAAGAUCAAAGCCUUAUUGAGCAUUUUCGGGGGGGGGGUCAUAUUCACAUUUCUAUAUCACAUUUCAACUAAAACAAGAUUCAAGACGGAAGUGAUAGAGGAAGAGGAAGAGAUAGAGGGAGAAUUUGAAUCCCAAGCAGACUUCAUGCUGUGAGCACAGACCCCUAAUUGGUGCUUGAUCCCACAACCCUGGGAUCAUGACCUGAACUGAAAUCAAAAGUCAGAUGCUCAGCCAACUGAGCCCCCAGGUGCUCCACAUCAUUUUACAUUUAUACAAAUACUUCUUCUAGCUUAUGCUACUACAUCUAAGGUCAGCUUAAUCAUAGUUUGGGAUAACUAUUCUUGUGUUUAUAAAGUUAAGGUGAAACAUUACAUCUUAAUAAAGUAACUUUUUUCCCCCUAAUUAAAUGGAUUUGAAUAAGGUGAAAAACUAAAAUCUAGAACCUCUUUUCACUAUUUUAUUUGUUGGGGGCAAACUUUAAAACUUAUCACUGCCAUUUUUCUUCAAUUACAAAAUUAGAAGGAUAUGAAAUGGUCAGGGGGAAGUUAUUACUGGAAACCCAGAAAUGGUCAACAGGUAUCUAAUUUUAUUCAUUGAACAAAGAGAGCUAAAGGGGGUAAGUUCUUUUGGCAAGAACUUAAAUGUAUUUAAAAGGGAAGAAAACUACACUGGUUGUUUGUUUCAUGAGUGGAAGAAAAGGAUACAUGGAAUUGAAGAAGCUAGGGGGGAAAGUGUCUAUUAAAUAAACACCUAUCAUUUGUGAAGCAGUUCUAGCAUCAGGUGUGGACCUUUGGUUUCUCUUGGGCAGUGAUCUUAUGUUUUAUGUAUCUAGAGUGAGAUUCUAUAGCUGGGUAAUGAGUGGGUAGAGUGAGAGAAUACGUUUUAAUUUCAAUUCAUAUCAAAUGACCAUGAUCACAGAUUUAGCACCUUAGAUUUACUUCCCUGUACUUGAGUCAUCUAUUGCUAUGAAUCCUGAGAAAGCAGUAUUCUGACAGCAUGCUGACAGCAUCUAUCCAUGCUGACAGCAGAGAGUCUGAUUCCGGGCUGGAACUCACAAACCACGAUAUCAUGACCUGAACUGAAACCAAGAGUUGGACAUUUAACUGACUGAGCCAUUCAGGUACACUUGAAAACAAAAUUUUAAACUGUCAAGAGAACAUGGAAGUAGAAAAUAUUAAUUAGGAAAACUGAAAUCAAUCCCAAUACAAUUAUAGUAAUAAGAGUGAUCUAAAUAUUUGUGCUUAAUGGUGAGGAGUCCCAGAUUUGAUUAUGUAAAACCAGUGUGAUUCAAAAACAUGGCAUUUGCAGGCUAGAGAUUUUGAAAACACAGUAGGUAACAAUAACAGAUAUAGUUAACUGAAUUCAACUAAAAUAAAUUUAAAGGAAGGCAUGGGUAACAAAUAAAAUGCAGUAACAAUAAUCAUUGUUAAAUGAUAUAGUUUUAAUUAUGUUCAGGGACUACAUAUGUCUUCAAAACUAUAAAUGACUGUGAUUCUCAUGUCCUUAAUAACAAGGGAAAAUGUAUUAUCAAAAAUAUCAGUGAAAUCUAGUUAGGAAAAGGAAAAGGUACAUUUUUUAUAUUGGAUAUAAAUGAGAAAAUAUUUCUGCUUUUUUAUCAUCAUCAUGGGAUACAAUUUAUACUUCUUCUAGUCUGUGUGUUUGGAUAGUCCAUGAGAUAAUUUCCAGACUUAGAUUUUUUUCCCCCUAUGUCCUUGAAUUAUUGUGUUGAAUGGCUCUUAAUGAAAUACAAUAUAUUUUGAGUAAAAUUUGAAAAAAAGUUUUUUUGGGCUACUCCAUGUGGAAUUUGAAAAACAUGAGGCAGCCUAUUAAGCUUUGGGGAGAAGGUGGAGGGGAGGAGAAUGUUCUUUCAAUCCAGAGUUGAGAAUGAUAGCUUGAUAGGUGUCUGUACCUUUCCUGGAAUAGGUAGAUCGCUCUUAAUCUUCAAUCACACCAGUCUUUACAUGUUAUUUUAGUGGUUAUCUUAAGUAAAUGUCAAAUUUCUCCAAUUUGCUUAGGUUGUCUUCCUGCCUAAUAUUGGCUUUAUUCUUCAUCCUGUACUUACAGCCUAACUCAGGCUCUGCUGAGGGACAGGCAACAUGAGAAGACAAGACACUAGGGUUAGAGCCAGAUGUUGACGUAGUUGGAGAAUUUCCUGAGCCAUCACAGAGUUGUCAGAGUGAUCUAAUUUUCAGAUCUGGCUAUCUCAGGGCUUCAAGAGUGUUGGUCACCAAAACAACACCCUCAGUGGAACACCAGCAGCCUCAUGCUCAUUGUUGUCCAAGGCAACUCUGGAUGUCUAUACGCCUGUUAUUCUGAGAUUUAUUCAAAGCCUGUACUUUGAGGUCAACUGAUUAUCACAUGCUUUCAAAUUAAUACACAUCACCAACAAUAAAAAUCCUGAAGUCUGAGUAAAUUGGCAAUUAUGCUGAUGAAUAAAGAAAUUAGAAUACAAAGGGCUAGUCUUGCUUUGCAAUACAAUACUCAGUCUUCUCUUGGUAAAGGUUUCAGAUAACCAAAUGCUGCUGCUGUGUAGUAGAGGCCUUGCUCUUCAUUAGACUGUGCAUGUGAAUCUACCAGAAGAGUAGAGAGCAGAAGACAUAAAAGAAUUGUCUCUCUCCAGUUACCAUGUCAACAUCUGCCAUAUUCUUCCUCAGCAGCUCCAACCCUCUCCAUGAUGGCUAUUGGUUGUGAAAAGCAUGGGUAUGUGUCUGUCACUAUAGCUGAUGCCCACCUUGUCAAUGCCAAUGUCUGUGCCAAAACCUAGAUUCUGAUACUUGGAAAAUUGGGAUCCAGAGUUGGGGGGGCUAUAGUCCUUAGGGCUACAGAGUAUUGAGCAGAACUGGAGAGCAUGUUCAUUUUCUGAUUCUAGCUUACAUUUUCUUAGAACCAAGUCUAAUAUGUCAUGAACGAAGAUCAUUUAUAUAUGCCUGCAGGCCCAUCUGCCAGUUGGCCCAGAUUCUAGUCUGACAAUAGGCUAAUACUUCAUGCAUCCAUUUCUCUCAUAAAGAUCAGUUUAGGCCACAAAACUUAACCUGCUUGCACACCUCCUCCAGGAAACAUCCAUCAUGCCUGUGUAACUCUGAUUCCCAGCAAAGGACACAGGUGGGACACAGAGUGGGGAGGGGCAGAGUAGGAAACAGCAAAGGACACAGAGUGGGGAGGGGCAGAGUAGGAAACACAGAAUCUGAAGCAGGCUCCAGGCUUUGAGCUGUCAACACAGAGCCCAACAUGGGGCCUAAACCCAUGCACCAUGAGAUCAUGACCUGAGCCAAAGUCAAAUGCUUAACCGACUGAACCACCCAGACACACCAGAACUUGUUCCUUUCAUCAACUAUUGCACCUAAAUGAAGAUGUCAAUUAAAAUUGAACCCAGGAAUUUUGACUUGCCAGAAUGUCUCCUCUUCAGAAGUUAUUUUCAAUUUCUUUAAGUCAAAAAUUCCUGAAAUGAUAUUUGGAUUUAUAAGGAUUUAUAAAUCCUUAUAAGGAUUCCCCAAAAUACAUUUUCUUCAGAGAAUUUACAUUUGAGAGGAGUAGAAUUUUGAUUCCUAUUAAAAUGAUUUAUCUUUAUUGUUUCAUUCUAUUUCAAGAGCAAGUCAAUUUUGUAAAUUCAUUUCCAAAUGUCUCUAGAGAUCUGCUGACUACUCUCAAGCAAUUACAAAUAAUCAAAGGGUAGACCAUUAUCUGAGAUGGAGUGAUGGUUCUAUUAACUUCUAAAGUGAGCAUCCGUGUAUAUAAGAACAGUGAAUUUUCCCUAAAUUCUAAUCUUAACUACCUACCUCUUAACAGGAAAUAAAUACAGGAGACCUUCUCUAUUGAAGUGGAAAUAGAGACACACAUUUCGGUUGUUUAUAAAAAUCCACUAUCUCAAGUCAAUGGAAGACUAUAGUAAGGAAACAUGUGACACUUUCAAGAUUCAUAGACAUUUCGGGAUUUAAAGGAAAUGGAAAAUGGCACUUCAAAGCUAAUAAACAGUUUAGGGUUUGGUUUUCCAUAGUUUCACUAGCUGGAGCAAGUUGAAGGAUAGCAAGAACUAUUUAUUGCCUGGAAAUUAUUCAUCAGAAUUCUUACAUGACGAAUAAUGAAAUUUUAGAAAUAAAUAACUUAGGUAUGGGAGCAGCUAAUAGAUAUUUUUGGAGCACUCACUUGUAGAGGAACUCUACCAGAUAAGUUUGAGGUCUUUUAGUCUCUCCAGCCUGUGGUUGCUCAUUCCAGUCAUGGGGCCAGCUUCGUGGGAACUGCCACUUGCUCUCAAAUUUCCUUGGAAUGUCACAGAGAUGAUCAUGGGUCAUAGACUGCAAAGCAUUCUUGAACUAAGGCAGUAUAAAACACAAUCUUACAGAGCCUGUAUAUUCUUUAAAUGCCCUGCCCUGCCUUUUGCUCCCCUUUUCCUCCUCUGAGUCAUUUCUCGACCACUAUACAUUCCCCUCCUCAUCAGCUAACUUAGCAGGAGCUACUUAUUUGGUUACCUAUGUGCAUCAUCUUUCUCUUGAAAAUUUCCCAGCUUUGUCAUAUGUUAGAAAAGCAACUCGUGCUUCACAGAAUUCAUACUUUUGUUAUAUGUUUCCAACAGUAAAGUUGGCAAAUUUUGAUGAAUUAAUGAAUCCACAGGCAAAUGUAAUUAGAUGUUAACAUGCAGCCAUACUAAGGCAUGACAUUUAAGUUCAAAGACUUUUUUUUUUAAUAACUCAAAAUAGGUUUGGGAAUUUAAGACAAGAAAUCUGGCCUUGGUAUUUGUCUUGAUGCACACCUGAGUGGAGUCUCAAGUCAGCCAAACAGGGACACUUUGCUUUGAGGGGUUUCUGCUUUAAAUUUGAUUUCCAACUGCAUGAAUUGGAUGUCCAAUCUGUUACACUUUUGAAAAGCAUUCAUUCUGUAGUUGUCCAAGUUAGAGAAAACAGUAGAGGUUCCUGAGCAAAUGUGACUUCACCAUCUUUCUAUGGAGCACUGUAUGAUGCUUCAUACUAAGACCUUUUCAGAUUUUAACUUACUUUCUACUUACUUUCUACUUCAUUUGGAAAAUGUGUUUUUCUGCUCAGCAAUCACAUCCCAAUAUUAUAUAAAAGUUCUGUCCUCUAUCAGGUCCUAUAGCUGCCAGUCAGAGCAACAGAGCUUUUUUAGCCUCCCAUAAGUCACGCAGGUGAGCUAUCGUGUCCUUAUAACCCAAGUUACAAGCAGAGGGAGAGGCUCCUAUUGAUCAUCAGUUUUCUCUUCUAUGGCCACAAGAUGGCAAUGUGAUGAUUUAAAUUCAAAAGUUAUUGAGCUUUAUUUUAUUGACUUUAGAGGACUUUAAAGACCAUGGAAUCCACUUGAAGCAAAUACUUAAGAUGAACUGGAAACUGUAUCCCACAAUAUAUUUAGUGUUUUUUCCAUGGUUCAGUAGUUUGUUCUAUGGUCAGAAUGAUGCAGGCCUGGGCAAUGUAUGAUUCCAUAACCACACAUUUUGCUUUCUUUUCUCCUCUAACAUACUUGAGUGUAAUGGUUGAUGCAAGCUCAUGGAUUCGGCCUUUACACAGUAACGAGGCAGUUUCAAAUGACAUUGACUGGCACUGGAGGACAAUAGCAGACACUUUGAUUUUAUUUUUCUUUCUCUGAAAUGAAGACAGAGUAAAUUCCAUCAAGGAGUUAGCUUUUGUAGGGCAAUAAAUCUUGUUCUUUUAUAACUAAGUCAUUUAACAAUUCAUCAAAAGCACAUUGUUUUUCUCAGUGAGAGAAUAUAUGGUGAACUUUACUUUAUGAAAAAUUUAUUUUUUAGGUGUUUGAAUCUAUAUUGUAGAAUGUAGGAUUCAUUGUAGAAAAAUAUUUAAUGUAUUUAGGAUCAUACAAUUUGAAAUAUGCAGGUAUGUGUUUAUUUUUAAUUUUUAAAAAGUUUAUUUAUUUAUGUUGAGAGAGAGAGAGCAAGCAGGGGAGGGGCAGAGAGAGAGGGGGAGAGAGAGAAUACCAAGCAGGCUCCACACUGCCAGAGUGUGUAUAUGUGUGAUAUGUAUAUAUAUAUGCAUGCAUGUAUGUGUGUGUGUGUGUGUGUGUGUGUGUGUAUACACACAUAUUUAGUAACUACCUAAUAGAAAGUUUGUAAAGAUUAAGGAAGUAAUCCAUGUAGAACACUUGGUAUAGUCCUUGACACACAGACAUCGUGCAACAAUUGUUACUGUAAUACUAUUAUUUUUUGUUGUAAUACUCAUGGUUGUUGUUACAUUGAGAGUUAUCCAUGGGAACCAGUUAUCUUGGUCCUGUCACAAAGCCACAGAUAAAAUUUUGUGUCCAACUAUCUGUUUUGGAAAUGCAGACAAUAGCUAAUUCAUGUUGAUUAAAACUUUAAGAAGUGUUUUAUAUGCAUAAUGUCUCUUCCCUCCCUCAUUCUCCCUUAAAAUGCCCAAAUUGCCUUUUCACAAAUCAGAAUGGAGCUCAACUCUUUCCCCUACUGUCCGUAGUUACUGAGUACAAUCUAUUUUUACCACUUUAACCAAUGCUCAGUUAUGGUUAUCUUUGACGGAACUCAAGAGUAGAGAAGCAGGAGUGAAUUCCUUUACUGUUACUCAUAAUUACCUUAGUGGGCUGGAUGUUUCCUCUCCCUGCAACUCUAGCCUUCAGGGCCAGAUGUCCUUGUCCCCAUAGUGAGAACACAUUUGCCUGUAUCCCAUUGGACUGUAAUCUACAUCAGCCAACUGGACGCUUUGAACUUCUUGCGUCCAGAGACUAAUAGGUGAGAAGUGGAGAUACCAUUUCGCAGGAGUAAUUGAUCCUGAUCAUCAGGAGGAAGUAGGACUUCAAUUACACAAUUGGGGCAGGGCAAGAUAAACUAUUUAGGUAUCCCUUAGGUCUUCCUUCUUAGGGAGUGAAUUGUAUCCCUUCCCCCCAGGUUUGUGUGUUGAACCCUUAAUGCCUAAUAUGACUACACUUGGAGAUAGAGUACUCAAAGAGGUAAUUAAGAUUAAGUGGGGUCCUAAGAGGAGCCCUGAUACAAUAAGACUGGUAUCCUUGGAAGAGGAAGAGCUAUGCUACCAGAGAAUAUGCUCUCUCUGCAUGUGUAAAGGAGAAAGGCCAUGUGAAGGUUUGGUGAGGAGGCAGCCAUCUGCACACCAGGAAGAAGAAAGGCCUACUCGAAGAAUGGACUCUAAUCGACCUUGGUCUUAGACUUCCAGCCUUCAGAACUAUUAUUCAAACUUGGUCUGUGGUAUUCUAUUAUGGAAGGCUGAACAGACUAAUACAUUCCUGUUGCCCAUUUUUUACUGUAAAUGAACAGUUAUAGCAAUUCUAGCUUGAAAACAGCACAGUGACUUGGGGUCCAGUCCUCUCUGGAAUGAGGGUUUGGGUCAUGUCACCAGAUAUGCCCUGGAGACCAGCAGAGUUGGCAGCUGCAAGGGGAGUCUAGUAUAGGUAAUGAAGGAAGGUGAUAUUGGUAUUGAUGGUGGGUUGGGCAGCUAUUUCUACUAACCUUCGUAUUUUUAUUUUACGUUUCUUACAAAAUUGAGGCUUACUAGAUUCCAGAGGAUGAUGUUUCCUGGGCAUACAUGAGGAUGGAGCUUGGUGGUACAAAGGGGGUCCACAUAGACAGGAAUAUGUGCCACUCAGAUCUUUCUUGAAGGAAAGACUUACUAUCCAGGUGCUGAAGCAAAUAGUCUUCACCUGUUGAGUGAUUGUCUCAAUGACAUAGCCGUCUCACCUAAAGUCAUGCCCUUCCAGGGUCAGUUCACAUCUAAUGAGUGAAGGAGGCAGAAGUAUAAGGCUCACUUAUUUUGUUCCAAAUCGGGACAACGCUGAAGGAUCACUUUAGCUCCAGAUGAUUCUUGGGUCUGGUGAGCCUGUAAAACCUGUAUGGCUUUGGUCUCUUCCUCUGCUCAAUUCUAAUUCUUUAUCUUCCCUUCCACAAUUGAUCCUGGCGGUGCUCCUUCCAAAACAUCUUGUAUGCUGAACUCUGUCUUAGAGUUUGCUUUCUGGAGAACUUAAUCUAUAACACUAACAAUUGGGGUAAUUGUAUUAAAAUUGGGAAUGUUUAAAGCUUCUGAUUUCCAUUUGGGACCCAGUCAUUAAUUUGACGGCAAAAUGCAAAGUUACACUCAACAUUCUUAUAGUGAACAGCUGCCUUUUGACUUAAGUGUGUGUGAGUUGGCUUGUAACCAAGAGUGUCCUAAGUGAAAUCAAUAGAUGAGGGGUUUAUGCAUGAAAAUAUGCAGCUGUUUUAUUGAAGUUUUCACUGACAGGAACUUAUCACUGUGACACCUCGUUUCCUUAGACAGUUAUAAAUGUUGAAGGCAGAUGGAAAAAGGCUAGUAUAAUAGAGAUGAGAAACAUUGUAUUUUCCUUCUGUGGGUGAUAGAUAACCAGGUAUAAUCUUACAAUCUUUGUUCUAAAAUUGUGUCAAACUGACAGUCAUUGUAAUUGAUAUUAAAGGGGACCAAAACAAAUGGGACAAGCUGUGUGUGAUCUGUUUGAGAUUAGACAACUAUUCUGGUAGACAGUCUAUAAUUCUGUAAUUAUGUUCUGCAAGAUCUGUGAAAUAGCAACAACCAAAAGCAUGGUGUUUAGCUUGCACAUCACGAUAAGAACAACACAAUAAGUGUGUCCUACUCUGUUGAUUAAUUGCUUUUUGGAACACCUCCUAUCAUGUGAUUUUUUGUGGGGGAGGGGUUUAUCAAAUCUAUGUAUUCCAUUGGGCAUCCCCUUGGAUGAGCUGUGUUCCUCCACUGAAACAGGUACUUAGAGAGGGAAAAAAGAAAAAAAAGGAAAUAAGUUUGAGAUAUACAAAUAGAAGAAUAACCCUUUUAAAAAGUUGAACUGUACUUUAUAUUGCAAAUUAUUAAAUAAUAAAUUUAAACAUUCAACGGAGUUUUUACUUCUAGUUUUAGUAUAGUAACUUAGAUCUGGAUUAAUGGGAUUUUGUGAUCCAAAAGACAUUUUAAAGUUAUUCUUUUAGUCCUUUGCCAACCUUAGUUUUUCUUUUUUUUAAUGCCACUUUAAUUUGAUUUUUUAUUUUAGGGAGAGAGCACAUGUGCGCACUGGCUCCUGAGCAGAGGGGGAGGGGCAGAGAGGGAAAGAGAGAGAAUCCUAAACAGGCUUGUACUCAGCACUGAGCCCAGCCUAGGGCUGAUCCCAUGACACUGGGAUCAUGACCUGAGCCAGAUUCAAGGCAGACACUUAACCAGCUGAGCCACCCGGGUGCCCCACCCUUAGUUUAUUUCAAUGGCCCACAUUUUAAAGUCCCUACCCUUUCUUGCUCACUAAUGUAUGUACUUUGUGUUUGUUUUUAUUUCCUAAGUUUAAAACAAUGUCUAAAUGUAAUUUUGGACAUUUGCUGUUUUACAUAGUAGAAUUGUAUCCUGGAACAAGGUUUUGAGGGUUGACAUUAAUGAUUUGAUAAGUCUAAAGAGGAUGGUAGAAACUAGAGAUAGCACAUUAUUUGUGGUACAUUCAAGAGUUUGGACUUGACCUACAAGACUGUGAGCAGCUUAGAAGCUGCAGGGGUAAAGUAUGCGUUUUUAGAGAAAUCACCCUGACAACUUUACAGAGAAUGAAUUAUAGGAGAUCUAAAAUCAAAACAGAGAAAGCAGUCAAUACUGUUUUUAGAGUCCAGGUGAGAUGUUGGAGGGAAGAUUUAAGACAGAGACUCACUACAAUUAGUCUAAGUGCUGCCCCCCCCCCCCAGGUAAUAACCAAAAGGGGGAAUACAAAAGCAGAUAAGCCUUUCCAUUGUUAAUUUUAAAUGUAAACCCUGUAGGCAGGUUUCUUCCUUCUUUCCUCCCUCCCUAGCUCCUUUUCUACCUUCCUUUCUGGAAUUAAAUAAUUACUAUGUGCCCUUGUCAUGCAUUAUUCCCACAACUUAGUGUAUGGUGGGGAAUGAAGCAGGUGUAAUGGUGACCCUCAUGUCUGUUAGUCAAGGUUCCAGCAGGAAACUGUGACACACUCCAAAUGGCAUGAUUUAAGAAUGGUUUAAUAAAAACAAUAUUUUAAAAAGUGGUAGAAAGUUGUAGCAUGGAGUGAGUAACAGCUGUUACCACUCUUGACUUGGAGAAACAGGGAAAGGGAGGGCUUCUGCAACCUGGAAGAAGACUGCUUUGUGGAAGGGAGCCACCUUGAGUGAAACCGUGACCUUCAUUUGGGUUGAAGGGUGCUGCCAAUCCAUGCUGAUUUCUCAGAGAGGGAGCUGGAGAAUAAAUAUCCCAACUAUGCUUUUAGCAUUCUGCCCUAUCCUUCCCUCCAGCACCCCGCUGGGCACUCAGUUGGCCCAACCAAACAAAAGGCCAAAAAGCAUGGAGGGGAGGGGUAUGAUGUUUUCUAUUCAGGUCUUCAUCCUAGACCAAACAGACACAGUGCAGAAGUUUGGAGAGUUAACUGGCAGGAGCAUAUAAGAAGUAUAGAGAGUGCCAGGAAACUCACAAGCAUUUCUCUGUAUGUGUGUGCAUGUGUUUAGCCUUUCUAGACCAUAUCUAAUGUUUGUUUCUACUGGGUUUUACCCAUAAGAAACAGUGUGAGAGAAAGAUUACUAUAGUAUGGUUUUCCCCGUGUCCCUUCUGCCUUGGAAGCAGCCCUGAACCACACCCCUUCUUAUAAGACAUUCUUCUCGUUGAAGUAGGCAGGUAUGUUAUAAACAGAAUAUACAAAGCUAAAUAUUUGUUAAGUGUGUAUUAUUUGAUGUAGUAUACAAAUUGUAUUUAUGUAUUUACCUGGUUCUGUGGAGUCUGGCACUCCAGGCAAACUCGAGCAUGUGUAAAGCAUUUAAGUAGAAAACAAUUGUAUGCAUAGACUUUGCUUCCUCUUGUUGUGGUCUUUGUUUGCCCAUGUGUGAAUUAUUUGGCAUUUCACCUUGUACAAUGUUUUGGACCUGCAAUUAUAAAAAGCUUCAGUGUCAGGUCAGUAAAAUCCACUGCCUUCUAUUUUUUCCCCUAUAUAAAUAGAAGUUGACAGUAGGAAAUUUUGUCACUGGCAAUUUCAAAUUCAUUAUUCUGAAUACAACUGGCAUUCAAGUUGUUGGCUGGUCAGUUAGAAAAUAAGCAAAUUUAGGUAAGGGGAAUUUGUGAUUGUGUAUUUACAUUUAAUAUUGUGAAAAAAGAAACUUCUUGACAUUGCUGGUGUUUUCAUUAUC